CUGCCUCUACGGUACCAUGGCGCUGCCAUGCCUAUGGCCCUACUAUCCGUCGCCUCGCAUCUGCAUCCCUUUUCUUCACGAUCAGUAGAUAUGUCUCCGUGGCACUCCUCUGAGUCCACCUCCAUUCUAACUGAUGCUUGAUUUUGGGUAGCUAAGUCCCUCUGGACUCGUCGUCGCUUCCUCGCCUCUUUCGACCCCCUGCUUCAACACCUCUGUGUUCUCCAAGCAGUCUGUUUGGUCGAUGGAAAGACAGACUGCAACUCCCAUGCAUGGCCUCUGCCAUCACGUUGUAGGGUUUGCACCGAUUCUGUUCUCCUUAGCUUCCUUGGUAGCAACGUUCGCUUACUCGGCCUUGUCCUCUGACUUGCCGGGCUCCCUUAAGCGAAUAUGAGCUCUGGAGCAGUCCAACUCUCCAGCUGCUUCGAUCAUACCUCUGCAUGAUCAAGUUCCUCCCACGGAACUCACUGGUACUUGCAUUCAAACUUUUCCCUUAGUGGAACCCAGCCC
rnacentral:lncRNA from 1 species